rnacentral:rRNA from 1 species
GACGUAGGGGGCGAGCGUUGUCCGGAUUUAUUGGGCGUAAAGCGCGCGCAGGCGGUUCGGACAGUCGGAUGUGAAAAUCCGGGGCUCAACCCCGGACCUGCAUCCGAUACUCCCGGACUGGAGGCAGGUAGGGGAGAGCGGAAUUCCCGGCGUAGCGGUGAAAUGCGCAGAUAUCGGGAAGAACACCAGUGGCGAAGGCGGCUCACUGGCCCGUUACCGACGCCCAGGCGCGACAGCGUGGGGAGCAAACAGG